rnacentral:tRNA from 1 species
GGGCCCGUGGCUUAGCCUGGUAGAGCACUCGGCUCUUAACCGAGCGGUCGUGGGUUCGAAUCCCACCGGGCCC